rnacentral:rRNA from 1 species
UACGUAGGGGGCAAGCGUUGUCCGGAAUCAUUGGGCGUAAAGAGCGCGUAGUCGGCCAGGUAGGUCGGUUGUGAAAACUGGAGGCUCAACCUUCAGAGGUCGACCGAAACCAUCUGGCUAGAGUCCGGGAGAGGAGAGUGGAAUUCCUGGUGUAGCGGUGAAAUGCGCAGAUAUCAGGAAGAACACCCGUGGCGAAAGCGGCUCUCUGGACCGGUACUGACGCUGAGACGCGAAAGCGUGGGGAGCAAACAGG